rnacentral:rRNA from 1 species
UACGUAGGGGGCUAGCGUUGUCCGGAAUCAUUGGGCGUAAAGCGCGUGUAGGCGGCCCAGUAAGUCCGCUCUGAAAGCCCGAGGCUCAACCUCGGGAGGCGGGUGGAUACUGCUGGGCUCGAGUACGGAAGAGGCGAGUGGAAUUCCCGGUGUAGCGGUGAAAUGCGCAGAUAUCGGGAGGAACACCAAUGGCGAAGGCAGCUCGCUGGGACGUUACUGACGCUGAGGCGCGAAAGCGUGGGGAGCGAACAGG